rnacentral:rRNA from 1 species
AUUGAACGCUGGCGGCAUGCCUUACACAUGCAAGUCGAACGGCAGCACGGGGCAACCUGGUGGCGAGUGGCGUACGGGUGAGUAAUGCAUCGGAACGUACCUUUCAGUGGGGGAUAACGUAGCGAAAGUUACGCUAAUACCGCAUAUUCUGUGAGCAGGAAAGCAGGGGAUCGCAAGACCUUGCGCUGAUUGAGCGGCCGAUGUCAGAUUAGCUAGUUGGUGAGGUAAAGGCUCACCAAGGCGACGAUCUGUAGCGGGUCUGAGAGGAUGAUCCGCCACACUGGAACUGAGACACGGUCCAGACUCCUACGGGAGGCAGCAGUGGGGAAUUUUGGACAAUGGGGGCAACCCUGAUCCAGCCAUGCCGCGUGAGUGAAGGAGGCCUUCGGGUUGUAAAGCUCUUUCGGCCGGGAAGAAAUCGCACGGGCUAAUACCCUGUGUGGAUGACGGUACCGGAAUAAGAAGCACCGGCUAACUACGUGCCAGCCGCCGCAGUAAAAC